rnacentral:piRNA from 1 species
UCCUUGUCUUUACACUAGCGCUUUCCCUGACU